CCUACGGGAGGCAGCAGUGAGGAAUAUUGGUCAAUGGCCGGAAGCCUGAACCAGCCAAGCCGCGUGAAGGACGAAGGUGCCAAGCAUUGUAAACUUCUUUUGUCAAGGGACAAAAUCAGGCGCGAGAGCCUGACCGAGGGUACUUGAAGAAAAAGCAUCGGCUAACCUCGUGCCAGACGCCGCGGUAAUACGGAGGAUGCGAGCGUUAUCCGGAUUUAUUGGGUUUAAAGGGAGCGUAGAUGGGUUGUUAAGUCAGUUGUGAAAGUUUGCGGCGCAACCGUAAAAUUGCAUUUGAUACUGGCAGUCUUGAGUACAGGUGAGGGAGGCGGAAUGCGUGGUGUAGCGGUGAAAUGCUUAGAUAUCACGAAGAACCCCGAUUGCGAAGGCAGCUUACUAGACUGUGACUGACAUUGAGGCUCGAAAGUGUGGGUAUCAAACAGGAUUAGAUACCCUAGUAGUC
rnacentral:rRNA from 1 species